rnacentral:rRNA from 1 species
CUGCGAAUGGCUCAUUAUAUAAGUUAUCGUUUAUUUGAUAGUACCUUACUACUUGGAUAACCGUGGUAAUUCUAGAGCUAAUACAUGCUAAAAAUCCCGACUUCGGAAGGGAUGUAUUUAUUAGAUUAAAAACCAAUGCCCUCUGGGCUCUUUGGUGAUUCAUGAUAACUUCUCGAAUCGCACGGCCUUGCGCCGGCGAUGGUUCAUUCAAAUUUCUUCCCUAUCAACUUUCGAUGUUUGGGUAUUGGCCAAACAUGGUUGCAACGGGUAACGGAGGGUUAGGGCUCGACCCCGGAGAAGGAGCCUGAGAAACGGCUACUACAUCCAAGGAAGGCAGCAGGCGCGCAAAUUACCCAAUCCCGACACGGGGAGGUAGUGACAAUAAAUACUGAUACAGGGCUCUUUUGGGUCUUGUAAUUGGAAUGAGUACAAUUUAAAUCCCUUAACGAGGAACAAUUGGAGGGCAAGUCUGGUGCCAGCAGCCGCGGUAAUUCCAGCUCCAAUAGCGUAUAUUAAAGUUGUUGUGGUUAAAAAGCUCGUAGUUGAACCUUGGGCCUGGCUGGCCGGUCCGCCUCACCGCGUGUACUGGUCCGGCCGGGCCUUUCCCUCUGUGGAACCUCAUGCCCUUCACUGGGUGUGACGGGGAAACAGGACUUUUACUUUGAAAAAAUUAGAGUGCUCCAGGCAGGCCUAUGCUCGAAUACAUUAGCAUGGAAUAAUGAAAUAGGACGUGUGGUUCUAUUUUGUUGGUUUCUAGGACCGCCGUAAUGAUUAAUAGGGACAGUCGGGGGCAUCAGUAUUCAAUUGUCAGAGGUGAAAUUCUUGGAUUUAUUGAAGACUAACUACUGCGAAAGCAUUUGCCAAGGAUGUUUUCAUUAAUCAGGAACGAAAGUUAGGGGAUCGAAGACGAUCAGAUACCGUCGUAGUCUUAACCAUAAACUAUGCCGACUAGGGAUCGGACGAUGUUAUUUUUGACGCGUUCGGCACCUUACGAGAAAUCAAAGUGC